rnacentral:tRNA from 1 species
UGGCCGAGUGGUAAAGUGCUUGGCUUCCAAACUGGGGGUCCCAGGUUCAAAUCCUGG